UCGAACGCUUCUUUCCUCCCGAGUGCUUGCACUCAAUUGGAAAGAGGAGUGGCGGACGGGUGAGUAACACGUGGGUAACCUACCCAUCAGAGGGGGAUAACACUUGGAAACAGGUGCUAAUACCGCAUAACAGUUUAUGCCGCAUGGCAUAAGAGUGAAAGGCGCUUUCGGGUGUCGCUGAUGGAUGGACCCGCGGUGCAUUAGCUAGUUGGUGAGGUAACGGCUCACCAAGGCCACGAUGCAUAGCCGACCUGAGAGGGUGAUCGGCCACACUGGGACUGAGACACGGCCCAGACUCCUACGGGAGGCAGCAGUAGGGAAUCUUCGGCAAUGGACGAAAGUCUGACCGAGCAACGCCGCGUGAGUGAAGAAGGUUUUCGGAUCGUAAAACUCUGUUGUUAGAGAAGAACAAGGACGUUAGUAACUGAACGUCCCCUGACGGUAUCUAACCAGAAAGCCACGGCUAACUACGUGCCAGCAGCCGCGGUAAUACGUAGGUGGCAAGCGUUGUCCGGAUUUAUUGGGCGUAAAGCGAGCGCAGGCGGUUUCUUAAGUCUGAUGUGAAAGCCCCCGGCUCAACCGGGGAGGGUCAUUGGAAACUGGGAGACUUGAGUGCAGAAGAGGAGAGUGGAAUUCCAUGUGUAGCGGUGAAAUGCGUAGACAUAUGGAGGAACACCAGUGGCGAAGGCGGCUCUCUGGUCUGUAACUGACGCUGAGGCUCGAAAGCGUGGGGAGCAAACAG
rnacentral:rRNA from 1 species